GCCCACGUACCCCAACUGGCAGAGGGACCGCCAUGAGGCGCCGGGUGUUGCGGGUUCGACUCCCGCCGAGGGCA
rnacentral:tRNA from 1 species